rnacentral:rRNA from 1 species
GUAGGGGGGGCAAGCGUUGUUCGGAAUUACUGGGCGUAAAGGGGUCCGCAGGCGGGCCAUGCAAGUUGAGGGGUGAAGUCCCCGAGCUCAACUCGGGAAUUGCCUUCAAAACUGCGUGGCUUGAGUCCGGUAGAGGGAGAUGGAAUUCUCGGUGUAGCGGUGAAAUGCGUAGAUAUCGAGAGGAACACCAGCGGCGAAGGCGAUCUCCUGGACCGGUACUGACGCUGAGGGACGAAAGCGUGGGGAGCAAACAGGAUUAGAUACCCUGGUAGUCCACGCCAUAAACGUUGGGCACUUGGUGUUCCGAGCCUUGAGCUUGGAGUGCCGUAGCUAACGCGUUAAGUGCCCCGCCUGGGGAGUACGACCGCAAGGUUG